rnacentral:rRNA from 1 species
UGGGGAAUAUUGGACAAUGGGCGAAAGCCUGAUCCAGCCAUGCCGCGUGUGUGAAGAAGGUCUUCGGAUUGUAAAGCACUUUAAGUUGGGAGGAAGGGCAGUAAGUUAAUACCUUGCUGUUUUGACGUUACCGACAGAAUAAGCACCGGCUAACUCUGUGCCAGCAGCCGCGGUAAUACAGAGGGUGCAAGCGUUAAUCGGAAUUACUGGGCGUAAAGCGCGCGUAGGUGGUUUGUUAAGUUGGAUGUGAAAGCCCCGGGCUCAACCUGGGAACUGCAUCCAAAACUGGCAAGCUAGAGUACGGUAGAGGGUGGUGGAAUUUCCUGUGUAGCGGUGAAAUGCGUAGAUAUAGGAAGGAACACCAGUGGCGAAGGCGACCACCUGGACUGAUACUGACACUGAGGUGCGAAAGCGUGGGGAGCAAACAGGAUUAGAUACCCCGGUAGUCCCUGAGCGGGCUGGCAAGGCGCAU